rnacentral:rRNA from 1 species
CUACGGGAUGCAGCAGUGGGGAAUAUUGGACAAUGGGGGAAACCCUGAUCCAGCAAUGCCGCGUGUGUGAAGAAGGCCUGCGGGUUGUAAAGCACUUUCGGUUGGGAGGACUGCUUCUAGCACUAAUAUUGUUGGAAGUUGACGUUACCUUCAGAAGAAGCACCGGCUAACUCCGUGCCAGCAGCCGCGGUAAUACGGAGGGUGCAAGCUUUAAUCGGAAUUACUGGGCGUAAAGCGCGCGUAGGCGGCUAGAUCAGUCGGGUGUGAAAGCCCCGGGCUUAACCUGGGAACUGCAUCCGAUACUGGCUAGCUUGAGUACAGGAGGGGAGAGUGGAAUUCCACAUGUAGCGGUGACAUGCGUAGAUAUGUGGAGGAACACCAAUGGCGAAGGCAGCUCUCUGGCCUGAUACUGACGCUGAGGUGCGAAAGCGUGGGGAGCAAACAGGAUUAGAUACCCGCGUAGUC